GAGUGCGCGAGUGCGUACUCGACACAACACAAAGGGAUUACCUGGGUCUCCCUGCCUGGGUAAUCCUUUU
rnacentral:sRNA from 1 species